GACGAACGCUGGCGGCGUGCUUAACACAUGCAAGUCGAACGGAAAGGCCCCGCUUUUGUGGGGUGCUCGAGUGGCGAACGGGUGAGUAACACGUGAGUAACCUGCCCUUGACUUUGGGAUAACUUCAGGAAACUGGGGUUAAUACCGGAUAGGAGCUCCUGCUGCAUGGUGGGGGUUGGAAAGUUUCGGCGGUUGGGGAUGGACUCGCGGCUUAUCAGCUUGUUGGUGGGGUAGUGGCUUACCAAGGCUUUGACGGGUAGCCGGCCUGAGAGGGUGACCGGCCACAUUGGGACUGAGAUACGGCCCAGACUCCUACGGGAGGCAGCAGUGGGGAAUAUUGCACAAUGGGCGGAAGCCUGAUGCAGCAACGCCGCGUGCGGGAUGACGGCCUUCGGGUUGUAAACCGCUUUCGCCUGUGACGAAGCGUGAGUGACGGUAAUGGGUAAAGAAGCACCGGCUAACUACGUG
rnacentral:rRNA from 1 species